rnacentral:lncRNA from 1 species
AUAGAGCCAACAGGCCAUGCUGUGGUCAGUGACAGACUGUCAGUCACUGUCAGGCUGUGCAGACAGGAGGGAAUCCACACUCACAUCACCUAAGGUCAGCCCCCAGAUGGAGACAGCCAGGCCGGAAUGCUGACCAGGUCGAACCUCCUCUCUGGAAGUGUCUCCUCCUACCCUUAGAUUAUGCUAAAAUGCCACCACAUUUGGAAUGCUGAAUUGGGUGAACUAUUGGGUGGCCUAAAAUGAGACCAGAGCUGCCAUCCACACCUCGCUGAAACACUCCUUGAAAAACGCUCUGAUGAGAAAGUGGCCUUUCCAUCCUGAUUCUCCUCCGCUCCAAGAUCUGCUUCUGUUCACAGGAGGAAAAUGAACUCUCAUGCAAAUAAGGCAACAACGGACUCACCAUUAACAGGGAGAGAAAUUAUAACCUGUGUUCAGCAAGCUUGCUGCCUGGCAAUCUUCCUCCCUUUCAUUUGCAGAGUGGCACACUAAAAGCUGGCAAGGCAGACUUUAUGCAAAGCCCUUCUGCAAUAAAGGUAAGACACAAGGGACUACUUGUAAAUGACUGAUUUUCU